UAGGGAAUAUUGGACAAUGGGGGCAACCCUGAUCCAGCAAUGCCGCGUGAGUGAAGAAGGCCUUAGGGUUGUAAAGCUCUUUUGGCGGGGAAGAUAAUGACGGUACCCGCAGAAUAAGCUCCGGCUAACUUCGUGCCAGCAGCCGCGGUAAUACGAAGGGAGCUAGCGUUGUUCGGAAUCACUGGGCGUAAAGCGCACGUAGGUGGGCAGUUAAGUCAGGGGUGAAAGCCCGAGGCUCAACCUCGGAAUUGCCUCUGAUACUGGCUGUCUAGAGUUCGAGAGAGGUGAGUGGAAUUCCUAGUGUAGAGGUGAAAUUCGUAGAUAUUAGGAAGAACACCGGUGGCGAAGGCGGCUCACUGGCUCGAUACUGACACUGAGGUGCGAAAGCGUGGGGAGCAAACAGGAUUAGAUACCCUCGUAGUCCCUGAGCGGGCUGGCAAGGCGCAU
rnacentral:rRNA from 1 species